rnacentral:lncRNA from 1 species
AGAAGAGCAGCUGCGAAAAGGAGAGACAGACUUCCCCCUUCUAGAAAAAGAAGACCUCUCUAUCUCUCUCGCUAAAACGGCGACCCCCCAAACCGUAGACCCUCAUUUUUACAAGAGAGACGGAUUCCCCCCCCCCUCGAAGAAUCGGAGCAGCUUUCCCUUUUCAUACAAUACAUUAACCGCCGCCUCCCCAUCUCUAACUCUCUUCACACUCAUCUCUCUCAUUUAUCCUCGUCGACUCAUGUAUAUUCACACUCAAGAGAAAACUCAGUCAUACCCUUUCAGUGACUAGAAGAGAAACUCCGAAAUACAAAACUGAAAAAAAAAACGAUCUGAGAAUGAGAUUUUGGGGAGCCUUUUUCUGGACUUUAAAGCCGUUGAAGGUUGAUUUCGCCUUUGACUUUGGUUGUUGUAUCGCUGGGGCUGUUUAGUUGAACUCCAUUUGUGCUUAUCCAAUCUUUAUUUGGAUCAAUCGAGUUUUCUUUGUUCAACCAGGUUAGUUUGAAACUUCUCUGUAUUAUGCUCUUUUUAGUAAAUGAUUAAACGGCGGAGCUUUUAUUUAGCUUCAAAGAUCGGUUCGAUUCCUAAUCUCUGUUGCUCUCAUACGUUAUGAAUGAUGUCGACUUGAGUUAAUUUGACCCCUGCUUUCAACUAGGAAUAUUGUAUUGGUUAUCUAAUCAUGGUAAGUUUAAUUAGUUUUUCUCUUAGUUUGAGAAUUGGUUGGUUCUUUGGUUAGCUUCCACAGUUCUACCCUUAUUUUUCUUUUGUGAUUAUGAUAUUUGACGAAAUUUCCAUUGAAGCCCGUUGAUUUUGAAUGAACUGUUUUAGUAUUGCAUAUUGCAUAAGAUUCAAAGCUGGGUAUUUGGUUAAUUUCAUUUCUAGCCGACUCUGUAUUUGCUUAUGAGAAUCGAAUAGUUCUCAGUGUAUUUUGACUCUUUUAUGCUUAUUUGGUCAUCUGUAAAAUUGAUUAUUUUAUUAUAAGACUCUGUAGUUUCAUUCUUCAGUUGGAAAAUGAAAUGGGUUGAGAAUUGCUAUGAAUUGUAUUAAGUAAUUUUGAGUUAUUUUAUUAAUUAAUAAGUUGUUUGGUUAGUAUCUAUAUUGAUUGGACCAUCUAUUUAGUCGUAAAUAAUCAAAAAAUUGAAUUGGGAUUGAGCCUAUUUCAUAAAUAAAUUGGUGGGGCAAUUAAAUCAUCUGUCGGGCACUUUCGUGAUGAUGUGUUACUAGCCCUUUUCUUCCUUAGUAACAAAGCUAUUAUACCUUUCCAUAAUUGAUCCAUUCGAUGCUUCUCUACAAUAAUUCCAUAAUCCAUGGUUUUGCAACAAUCUCAAAGAUUAGCAAAAUAAUUCAAAUGCGCUAGUUGCUUUAGGCACGAUUAAUAAAUAAAUCAUCGUGACUAUGGGUACGGUUCCCGUGGCAUGGUCACGAUGCUUAAAUCUCAAUUUGGAUGUGCAUUUCAUGCGAUCCGACCAUAAUUUUGAAUAAUAAUAAAAUAAAUAUGUUGCAAAUCGCGGGUGCAUUUCAUGUGGUUGUGAUUUGCAAUGUGUACCAAAAAGACAAGUGUAAGACAUCGUAACUUGUUCCAAAAAUAAUUUCAUAAAUCCUAAAAGCUAUUAAAAUUCUAUUAAAAGCGGUUAAAAGUUAAGAAAUACACAAUAUGUUUUAAACAUGUAAUAAACCAGAUGAUUAGGCCAAUUAUUAAUAGUUAAGCGACCGUGCUAAAAUCACGGAACCCGAGAAUGCCUAACACCUUCUCUCAGGUUAACAGAAUUCCUUACCCGGUCUUCUGGUUUUGCAGACUUUGAAAUAGAGUCAAUUUCCUCGAUUGGGGAUUUAAAAUAAAUUGGUGACUUGGGACACCAUAAAUAUUCCUAGUGGCGACUCUAAAAAUAAAUAAAUAAUUCCAUUUCGAAUAAUGUCACUUUAAUUGGAAAAAUUCCCUAUCCCCUCGGAAAAAAGGAGGUGUGAUAGCUCUGGCAAUUCUGCUGGGGAUCGAACCCAGAAUAUCUAGUUCAGGGUUCAGAAUUCGAUCUUGUUAAUUUAAUCUGUACUUGGCUUUAUUGUUUGUUGAUAUUACUAUGUUUGCGGGUCUAAUGUGCUAAUUGUUGUUUAUUUACUGCUUUGAUAUUAUUUGAACUGUAUUAAACUGUCUUCUUAUGCCUCCCUUAUGAGUCUUCUUAAAAUAUGGUGCACGCGUACGCGUGGCCCACCUUCUUUUAGAAGUCAUACCAAAUAGAAUGAGGCUGGGUCAGCAACUAGGUCGGGUAGACUUUCGUGCUCCCGGUACAUUUCCCCUACCUCGGCUCGAGUUGUCCGCUUGGAUUAGCCAUGUCUAGAAUACAACCCCAGGUUUAAACCUAGAAUAACAUAACUUCAUGUCGGAUCCCUAGUAGGAACGUUUGUUUAUAUCACAUGCAUUUGACUUUGGGGACUCAAAACAGGGGUUGGGUCCGUCUAAGAUAGGUGUACCCGAAAUAAAUGACCAUCCUGAUGCAUCUUACGUGCUAUUUGAACAUUUAUUUGCUUCGACUUGCAUGUUGAUCAGCUAGAGAAAGAAAAUCAAAAGAAAAACCAAGAGUGAGAUAGGAGAAAAAUUAAGCCCAGUUCUGAAACCCCCGGUGUUUGACAAUGUCCCGAAACUCUGCCGAAAUGUUUUUUUAAAAAAUGAUUUCAAAAUGAGUUAAUAUCAUAUUUUCCCGAUUAUGUCAAAAAAGACUGAACUACGCAGGUCUGAUUCUCACGGGAUGUGAGAUACAUAGACAACCUACAUAGGGUUCGGCCUCACUUUUGCAAAAAUAAACAAAAAUAAAACAAAUAUGUCCAGUGCUUUGGUCAAAGGAAUAAACCGACCAUGCUUUAGUUGUGUCUUGAUCCUUUUUUGCCUGAACAACCUUAGAACAUCUUCAAAUUGUCGAAGGGCUAUUUUCGCAAAUAAUGAACGUGUCUGUCAAUGGGACAUCACUUUUUCAUAAAGUGCCCUUCUUCGGCCUCAAACUUUCUUUGAAAGUGUGAAAGGGCCAUUGUUGCAAAAAUAGCCACCUGUCGCUAAUAUUGCAUAAGUAGCCACCCUCCUUUGAUUUAGAAAAUUGAAAACUUGUUUUGCAAAAGAGUCCACUGGAGUCAGCCCUAACCCUAAUCAUCCACAGGUACAAAAUGAACAUUGUCCAGAAUCUGCCAUUAACGGUCGUAGAGCAGCUCUGUUGUAGCUUCAAAUGUGGAAGUCCGAAACUUAAAUGUUGUCUUUUUGGACUCAAAAGACCGAAAUAAGUGGAAAAUAGUUUAGUAACCAAACUAUAUAAAACGCGGUUUUAAAGCGCGUUUUACUUUAACAUCCAAUUUGGACGUUAAAGUAAAGCGCGUUUUAAAAAGGCGUUUUAUAUAAAUCGCAUUUUUGAAAUAUGAUUUACCUAUUUUGUGGGCCCACCAUUAACUCUUAUGUGCGUAACUGAUAUAACAAUAAUUCAAAUGGGUAAAACGUGUUUUAAAAGGACAUUUUACCUCAAAAGAUUUGACCCCGUGAAUUGGGCAUUGCCUUAUUUAAAGGUGUUAAUGAUUUUACAAAAAUCCAUUCAGAAAUAUUCUCAACUCCUUUUAAAUUUUUCUUCUUGUUAAAUUCUCAAGUAUUUUAUCAUAAUGUCUAAAGAGCGAAAAGUAAGGGUUUCAUUAUAUUGGGGAGGGGGGGAUGAGGUUGUGGUGGCGAAUAACUCAAUGAACUAUAGUUUAUCUCCACAAAGUCAUGUUAAGUUGCCACUUACAAUGGAGUAUGAUAGACUAAUAUCCUUGUUGUGUAAUAAAAUGAGUGUGAGUAAACGUUCAGUGAACCUUAAAGUAAUAGGAAGAUAUCCGCAUUCUGUCACUCCGCAAGGGGUUGCUUGUUACGCUGAGUUUAACAUCGAGGAUGAUGAAACUCUGAGAGAUUUUUGGGGACUCCGGAUGAAUACCUAGAAUUUAUUACGAUAAAAAUAUUGGAAAUGUACGUGAAGGUUGAAGACGUUCGCAAUAAUGAGGUUGCACAAAGCAGGGAUAACCCUCAAUCAUCGGGUGGUUAUUCUGGAACAGUUUUAGCUGAACGGGUUCCGGCUGAAAGAGUUUGGCUGGAUCUAAACUUAUCUCCACGAGCGAAUGAGGAGUGAAAAAAUAAUUUCUUUUCUACUUUACAUAAUCUACACGACGAGUGGUAAACCUUAAUUUUCCUUUGUGUUACGAUAUUUAUUUUUGUUGUAUUGAAUUUGUACUAACAUUCAUAUAUUCCACAGGGGUAUCGUACAGAUACAAAUUUUACAAGUUAUACCCACACCCAGUUGGAAUAUGCGUUGUUUUAGUGUGUUGGAUCAUGGUGGUCCAUCUGGGAGUCAUCACCAACAGGAUAAUGUCCAUCAUAGAAUGUCAACACAUUACGACUUGUAAGUUAAGUGAUAUAGAUAUAUGUAAAGUAUUUUUCAAUUUGAGUAGCUUAUUAUUUUGUUGUUUGUGCAGUGAAAACGAGCAAGUUGAACCACCUGUCAUGACUCAAUUGAACGAAGACGGCAUAUUUACUCGGG